UUCAUUUACAGUUUUAUUUAUUUAUUUUUAUUUUAUUUAUUUAAAAAAAUAUAUAGAAUCAACUAAACUGCCCAAGUUUCUCUUGUGGCCCCUUAGGAAAAUUAAUUGCCCACCCCUGGUCUACAUUCAAGGCUUUCUAAUGAAAUAAGGUGGUUGAGGUUUCAUUUGAAAAAAAAAAAAAAAGUGUGAGUCACGUGCAGAGUGUCAUAAUACUACAUUUAAAUAAAUUAAAUGUAUGGUUUAAUAAUAAUUUAAUUAGAUUAAGUUAAUUAUUUAUGUAAUGUUCUAAUUUUAUAUGAUUAUUUAUGUAAAUUCUGCGUGACUGUGACGUGUUUUAAUGCGUGCGUGCUGAACGUUCGAGCCGCGUUGGUUCAAACACUGGAGCGGAGGGAGUUGCCAUGGUAACGGGGCGUCAACACAACCAUAGACAUAAUAUGAACACAACGACCGACAAGCAGGAAGCUCCGUUUCUCGCUGCAGUUUUUACUGUUUUCGAAGAAGAAAAAAACAGCAACAUGGGAGGCUCCAAGAUUUCACAAUUUCUGAAGGGAGCCGCAGACAGAGAAGUAAGGAACACAAGUGAACAGGUGAAGCUUCUAAACAUUUUUAAGAGGGCUUUGACAUCCACAAGUAAGAAGUAUGAGCAAUAUUAAAUAAGUAAACCUAGAAGCAAAUUGUUAUGUUAAAAAAAUAUUUUCUGUAUAUUCUUCUUUCUCUUUUCUACAUUUCACCUGCUCUAGCUUGGUUCCUUGUAAUAAACCUGGCUGGCAUUGUAUACUAAAUAUUGUUGGCUCUGUGACAAAUUGCUUGUUAUGUUCCUACAUUCUUCCAUGUUGAUGGCCUGCACACCAGACUUAGAGCGGACCUCCUGUCGGACAACAUCUCCCAGGCACAAUGAACCAUAUGGCUAAUGCUCACAAAGGUUACUAGAGAUUACACCAGUUCCAGUUUGGAUCCAGCCUGGCGUGUGAAGACUUCAGAAGACGCCAGCACUCAAAGACUUCAGAUGAUGGCAACUAGAUGAACAUACAAAGCUGCCAAAUAAUCCUUAUAUUGUAAUCAUGGCCCUAAAAGGGAGGAACUUGUCAACAAAUCUACCGCACAGCGCAUCAAUGAAAGCAGUUUGACAAUUACAGACGGGUGUGUUGGAUCAGGGUUAGAUCUGAAUUCUGCAGGUUUUCUGGAUUCCCAGUUGAAGACAUCAGUACAUCAGAUGUUGACCUGGACAGCUGUAUCUACAGUACACCACACUGACCUCUCUGCUUUUGCAUAGAUGACUUACUACUACCAUGUUCUAUAGUAUUAUUGGUAUUAUGUUCUAAGGUAUUAUUAUAGUAAAACUGAGCACCAGUGGAAUUUGUAGUUGUAAAGAAUAGACACAUGCGAAUUACAGGUAGUACAUUUAAACAUUUUUUAUUUUUUAUUUUUUUUAGGAGUUCCAAAUGUUUUUUUUACUCUUUCUCUCUAACAAACACAACACAAGUUACAUCAUUUAAAAUUCUGAGGUGCACAAAUCAUAUUCUACAAAUAACAAAUUAAGAAACUCAUGUGAAUGUGGGGCAAAACACAUUCACACACCCAAAUAAAAAAUGUGAAGUCAUGAACAAAUUUUGCACAUUUGCAUAUAUAUAGUCAUAGUCAGAAUUAUUGACACCCUUGGUAAAUAUGAACAAAGAAGCCUGUGAAAAUAAAUCUGCAUCGUAAGUCCUUUUUGAUAAAAGAUCAAAAAGGGGUAGGGGGAAGCUCAUGAGGAGUUUUUUUUUUUCUCUAAUACACAUUGGCCACAGUUAAUGGCACCCUUUUAUUCAGUACUUUUUGAAAUCUCCUUUUGCCACAGUAACAGCUCUGAGUCUCUCCUAUAAUGCUUGGUGAGUUUGAAGCUCACCUGACAAGAGAUCUUUGGAGAGUCAUUGGCCACUCAAACUAUCCUCCUCACCUUGCAUAUAGACAAUAUAGACACACAUCCUCUUCCAGGCAGAUCUGUGACAUUUUAAACAGUACAGAUUUAUUUUUACAGGCUUCUUUGAUCAUAUUUACUAAGGGUGCCAAUAAUUCUGACCACGACUGUAAGAAUGAGAACUUACGUGAGAUCUCACAUGACAUAUCAGAAUGUGAGAUCCCACUUGCACGCUUGAUUAGAAUUUGAAAUUCGAUCAAACUGAAUAGAAUAGAAUUGAACUGAAUAGAAUAGGUAAGUGAUAGCAUUAAUUGGUCGGGUUUUGAUGAAAAAGACAUUUUUUGAAAGUGGCUAAAGACUCAAAGCUAAAGCUGCUUGAAUUGAGAUAGGGAGGUCAUUCCAACAUGAACUUAUCUACAAAUACCAUAGUUAAAUUCUGGAAAAAUUAAAUACAUCCCGUAUUUGUGAUUUGUAGAAUAGGAUUUAUGCACCUGCAGUGACGAUUUUGAGAUGGUUUUGUUGGUUUGUGAGAGAGAAAGAAACAAAAUAUAAUUUUGCAACUCCUAAAACAUUUUCUUGAUGACUUUACUGAAAUAUUCUCUACAAAUACACAUUCCAUGCUCAUAGGUGCUCAGUUUUGCUACAAUAAUUCUAGACACAAUAGAUGCACUUUAUGCAAAUAUAAAAAAGGGACAUAAACAACUGAAUAUUCAGGGAAAAUAAAAUAAUUCUUGAUAAUCUUUAAAAUGAGAGAAUCACUGAUACUGACUUAGGCUACUUUCUUCAACUGCAGAAAAAAACGAAACUAUUAAAAUUUGCUAAGUGCCCUUGAAAGGUAUCAUUACGCCGUUUGGAACCGUAAGGCCAGUUUAUGAAUUGGAAGUAAAGAUAAUUUGCAACACAACUUAAUAUAGACUUUCAAACUGGUCAUCACCAGUAGGCUACUAUGCAAUCUCCUGACAUUGAACAGUUAUAAAAUGAUUUAGGACAACACUGUACGAAGACCAUACUUUCGUCGUAGCAAGGUAAUUGCGACUUAGUGGCAACGACGUAAAUAAGUUAACCAUAAUACGUAACUGCAAUGUAAUUUGACGACCAAACUAUUACGUUGUGACAACCGGAAAAGUGAAAUUCCUGGAAACGUUGCUACAACGAAACUUUGUGACGUUGUCAGUUAGUAAUAAGGACGGUCUGACAACGUUGAGGAUCACUACGUGGCACAUUUUCAGUAGAUUCUUAUGCCUUCGUUUCUCUUUCUCUUUUUUUUUUUUUUUUUUAAUAGAAUAGCCUUGUAACACUUAACUCUUAUUUAAAAGUUAAAAUGAAAACGACUAACCUGUUCUUUUGUUGUUUCUUAGUUCCUAUGAAGUGUUCCAUUUCUUUCUUCUUUCAAACAAAAUAAAUAAAUUAUAUAUAAUAUAAUAAUGUGUAUUGUUUUCAAAAAUAGAUCGUUGUAGCAACGUAUCCGGGAAUUUCACUUUUCCGGUUGCCACAACGUAACUAGUAACUAGUUACGUUGUCACAACGAAAGCUUGGUCGUCAAAUUACGUUGCAGUUAUGUAACAAUCACAUAUUAUGGUUAGCUGGGAUACUCUCAAUAUAUUAUAACUUUAAUUUCUACGAUUUAAAUGAUCGAAACAUUUCGAUUUUAUUCUCGUAACAUUAUUCUCGUAACAUUUCGACUUUAUUCUCGUAAUAUUUCGACUUUAUUCUCGUAGUAUUUCGACUUUAUUCUCGAAACAUUUCGACUUUA